UACGGAGGCCCCAAGCGUUGUUCGGAAUCACUGGGCGUAAAGGGAGUGUAGGCGGGUCCGUAAGGCGGGUAUGAAAACCUUCGGCUCAACCGGGGAAUAGUGCCCGAAACUGCGGGUCUUGAGUGCAGCAGAGGAGAGUGGAACUCCUGGUGGAGCGGUGAAAUGCGUAGAUAUCAGGAGGAACGCCGGAGGCGAAAGCGAUUCUCUGGGCUGCUACUGACGCUGAGGCUCGAAAGCCAGGGGAGCAAACGGG
rnacentral:rRNA from 1 species